rnacentral:rRNA from 1 species
UGGGGAAUAUUGGACAAUGGGCGAAAGCCUGAUCCAGCCAUGCCGCGUGUGUGAAGAAGGUCUUCGGAUUGUAAAGCACUUUAAGUUGGGAGGAAGGGCAGUAAGCGAAUACCUUGCUGUUUUGACGUUACCGACAGAAUAAGCACCGGCUAACGCUGUGCCAGCAGCCGCGGUAAUACAGAGGGCGCAAGCGUUAAUCGGAAUUACUGGGCGUAAAGCGCGCGUAGGUGGUUCGUUAAGUUGAAUGUGAAAGCCCCGGGCUCAACCUGGGAACUGCAUACAAAGCUGGCAAGCUAGAGUAGGGCAGAGGGUGGUGGAAUUUCCUGUGUAGCGGUGAAAUGCGUAGAUAUAGGAAGGAACACCAGUGGCGAAGGCGACCACCUGGGCUCAUACAGACACUGAGGUGCGAAAGCGUGGGGAGCAAACAGG